AAAAAGUUAGGUAACAAUUAUCAAUUGAUUGUAUUUUAGGAUUGAAAAAGUAGUUAUUGGUGGCCAUGAAGUCCAUCCCCCAGAAGUAGGAGAUGUUGUAUUUGACAGAAAUAUCAAAAAGGAUCUAGCUGGAGAGGAAAGUGGAAAAGAAGAGAUGGAAGGAAGCUGUUGCUUCAUUUUCUGUUCAUAGAAGGGGAGAGAGAAUAUCAGAGUUUGAUGGGAGCAGCCACAGACAGAAGAAGAAGCAGAAAAAUUAUUUCAGCAUUUUGAAAUAAAUGUCUUUU
rnacentral:lncRNA from 1 species